GCCUCUGCCUCCUGAGUGCUGGGAUUAAAGGUAUGCACCAUCACAUGUUCUAUUUUCUCUCCCUUGACUACAGAAGUCCUGCAGCAAACGGCAGUUGGUAUUCAUGGGUUGCAAAAGGAAAAACUCAUCAUGAGAAAUCAUGAAUGUCUGUCUCUACAUUUUCAUGAUUUAGCCUGCUUGGUGUUUAGCAAAGACGGCCUGGAAUGUAUAGAGGAAUCAGCAAUUGUCUGCAGACUUACCAAAUCAAUGUGUGUCUAAGUCCAGUUUUUUACCUAUAUACAUACCUAUACACACUUGGUGGAUGAAGCAAGGCUCCAGAAAGCUCCAACCACAUACAUUCGCAUACUUAAAUUUGAGAGAGCUAUCUCACAGUUCUUGGCUGCUGCAUUGCCAGAUUUUUUACAAGAACACCCUUCAAAUCCAAGAUGGCAGGAAUGCAGGUACUAUACCAAGGAACGAAUACAAAGAGAUGCGACCCUUGCUUUCAGAGUGCUUAUGGGAACGUCAGACAAGUGCAUUGCAAAGGGAAAUUAAUGUCCAGGGGUUCUCGAGACAACCCAAAGAGAAGCUUGAAAGCUAACUGAAUGUUAGUACCCUUCUGGCUUUUGCAAUCCAGUGGUUCUUAGGAGCCACUAUGUUGUGAGUAAGAAACCACUAUUAUUAGUAAGAAAGGCCCCCGGAGAGAUCUGAGAGAGAGAUUGCAGCAGACUGAUGCUUCUUCAUAAGACAGUGCUAGGUCUAAUGACUAGCGUAGUCUCGCCUUUUGAGAACCUUGGCUAAGGAAAGGGCAGAUGGCAGUUAACAGGAUAGGACAAGAGAGAUGAAGUGUGGAAAGAGCUUUAUUUAUAAGAAGGAUUCUUAAACUUCUUUAUAUGCUGGAGGAACAUGGCUAAAUACAUACGAAAGGUUAAGAAUGAGGCCAGGGAGAGGGUGUUUGACAAAGCUAGAUAGUUACGCCAGGCUGUGGUGGCGAACACCUUCGAUCCCAAUACUCAGGAGGCAGAGGCAGGCAGAUUUCUGAGUUCGAGGCCAACCUGGUCUACAGAGUGAGUUCCAGUGCCACCAGGGCUACAGAGAGAAACCCAGAGAGCUAGUUGAGAAGGGAGGAGAGAGAAUACAGAUAGAGGUGAGGAUCGUGAGGUAAAAAUAACCAGAGACAGAAGGUGACUUUGUGAUCGCAAGAAAAAAGAAAGAAGAAAAAUAAAAUAACAGGAAGUUGUAGGUGGUGGGAAAGUUAUUAGUAAUAGCAUUAAAUUAAUAUUCCUUGGUGUCCCUAUUCUGUGCCAGGAACUACCCUUAACAGUUCAUAUCAAUGUUGGGACAUAUAGUUUCUUGCACAGCCUCUGAACCUAAAUCCUUCUAUACUCCCCUAAGUUUCUAGUGAAAAGCAUUCAAAUUAAACAUAUUUGUGUUUCAAAAGACAUCAACAAUUUGAACUUCUCAAUUAUAAUAUUUAUAUUUGUAUCCAUGUAAUUAGACAUGCAUAUAUAUAUGCAUAUAUAUAUAUAUAUAUAAUCUUUUGAGACAGGGGUGUGGGAAGGAAUGUCUGAAGAAUGAAGUAUUCAGAACUGGAAUAGAGAAAAGUAAGGGGCUAGUUAAAGUUAAUUUGAGAAAAAAAGGAAAAAGAAGGAAAAAGAAAAAAAAAAAAAGCUCAUUUGAAAAGCCUGGAGAACAAGAUGGAAGCCCUACCUGACACUUUCUGGAUGGCUGGGAACCUGAGACUAGAUAGCCCAGGAACUUAGGGUUAAAAGAAAGUCAAUGUUCAAAUGGCUCUAAUGAUAUGCAGUACUCACAGAUCAGUGUCUUGUUCAACCAUC